CUUUUGUAUAAUGGGUCAGCGACUUAUAUUCUGUAGCAAGGUUAACCGAAUAGGGGAGCCGAAGGGAAACCGAGUCUUAACUGGGCGUUAAGUUGCAGGGUAUAGACCCGAAACCCGGUGAUCUAGCCAUGGGCAGGUUGAAGGUUGGGUAACACUAACUGGAGGACCGAACCGACUAAUGUUGAAAAAUUAGCGGAUGACUUGUGGCUGGGGGUGAAAGGCCAAUCAAACCGGGAGAUAGCUGGUUCUCCCCGAAAGCUAUUUAGGUAGCGCCUCGUGAAUUCAUCUCCGGGGGUAGAGCACUGUUUCGGCAAGGGGGUCAUCCCGACUUACCAACCCGAUGCAAACUGCGAAUACCGGAGAAUGUUAUCACGGGAGACACACGGCGGGUGCUAACGUCCGUCGUGAAGAGGGAAACAACCCAGACCGCCAGCUAAGGUCCCAAAGUCAUGGUUAAGUGGGAAACGAUGUGGGAAGGCCCAGACAGCCAGGAUGUUGGCUUAGAAGCAGCCAUCAUUUAAAGAAAGCGUAAUAGCUCACUGGUCGAGUCGGCCUGCGCGGAAGAUGUAACGGGGCUAAACCAUGCACCGAAGCUGCGGCAGCGACACUGUGUGUUGUUGGGUAGGGGAGCGUUCUGUAAGCCUGUGAAGGUGUACUGUAAGGUAUGCUGGAGGUAUCAGAAGUGCGAAUGCUGACAUAAGUAACGAUAAAGCGGGUGAAAAGCCCGCUCGCCGGAAGACCAAGGGUUCCUGUCCAACGUUAAUCGGGGCAGGGUGAGUCGACCCCUAAGGCGAGGCCGAAAGGCGUAGUCGAUGGGAAACAGGUUAAUAUUCCUGUACUUGGUGUUACUGCGAAGGGGGGACGGAGAAGGCUAUGUUGGCCGGGCGACGGUUGUCCCGGUUUAAGCGUGUAGGCUGGUUUUCCAGGCAAAUCCGGAAAAUCAAGGCUGAGGCGUGAUGACGAGGCACUACGGUGCUGAAGCAACAAAUGCCCUGCUUCCAGGAAAAGCCUCUAAGCAUCAGGUAACAUCAAAUCGUACCCCAAACCGACACAGGUGGUCAGGUAGAGAAUACCAAGGCGCUUGAGAGAACUCGGGUGAAGGAACUAGGCAAAAUGGUGCCGUAACUUCGGGAGAAGGCACGCUGAUAUGUAGGUGAAGUCCCUCGCGGAUGGAGCUGAAAUCAGUCGAAGAUACCAGCUGGCUGCAACUGUUUAUUAAAAACACAGCACUGUGCAAACACGAAAGUGGACGUAUACGGUGUGACGCCUGCCCGGUGCCGGAAGGUUAAUUGAUGGGGUCAGCGCAAGCGAAGCUCUUGAUCGAAGCCCCGGUAAACGGCGGCCGUAACUAUAACGGUCCUAAGGUAGCGAAAUUCCUUGUCGGGUAAGUUCCGACCUGCACGAAUGGCGUAAUGAUGGCCAGGCUGUCUCCACCCGAGACUCAGUGAAAUUGAACUCGCUGUGAAGAUGCAGUGUACCCGCGGCAAGACGGAAAGACCCCGUGAACCUUUACUAUAGCUUGACACUGAACAUUGAGCCUUGAUGUGUAGGAUAGGUGGGAGGCUUUGAAGUGUGGACGCCAGUCUGCAUGGAGCCGACCUUGAAAUACCACCCUUUAAUGUUUGAUGUUCUAACGUGGACCCGUGAUCCGGGUUGCGGACAGUGUCUGGUGGGUAGUUUGACUGGGGCGGUCUCCUCCUAAAGAGUAACGGAGGAGCACGAAGGUUGGCUAAUCCUGGUCGGACAUCAGGAGGUUAGUGCAAUGGCAUAAGCCAGCUUGACUGCGAGCGUGACGGCGCGAGCAGGUGCGAAAGCAGGUCAUAGUGAUCCGGUGGUUCUGAAUGGAAGGGCCAUCGCUCAACGGAUAAAAGGUACUCCGGGGAUAACAGGCUGAUACCGCCCAAGAGUUCAUAUCGACGGCGGUGUUUGGCACCUCGAUGUCGGCUCAUCACAUCCUGGGGCUGAAGUAGGUCCCAAGGGUAUGGCUGUUCGCCAUUUAAAGUGGUACGCGAGCUGGGUUUAGAACGUCGUGAGACAGUUCGGUCCCUAUCUGCCGUGGGCGCUGGAGAACUGAGGGGGGCUGCUCCUAGUACGAGAGGACCGGAGUGGACGCAUCACUGGUGUUCGGGUUGUCAUGCCAAUGGCACUGCCCGGUAGCUAAAUGCGGAAGAGAUAAGUGCUGAAAGCAUCUAAGCACGAAACUUGCCCCGAGAUGAGUUCUCCCUGACCCUUUAAGGGUCCUGAAGGAACGUUGAAGACGACGACGUUGAUAGGCCGGGUGUGUAAGCGCAGCGAUGCGUUGAGCUAACCGGUACUAAUGAACCGUGAGGCUUAACCUUACAACGCCGAAGGUGUUU
rnacentral:rRNA from 1 species